rnacentral:pre_miRNA from 1 species
AGUAGAAUUGCUGAGCCAUAUUAUAAUUCUAUGUUUAAUUUUUGGAAAAACUGUCAAACUGUUUUCCAAAGUGGCUAUACCACUUUAUAUUCCUACCAACAGU